AUGCACGCUGGCGGCGUGCUUAACACCUGCAAGUCGAACGGAAAGGCCCAAGCUUGCUUGGGUACUCGAGUGGCGAACGGGUGAGUAACACGUGGGUGAUCUGCCCUGCACUUCGGGAUAAGCCUGGGAAACUGGGUCUAAUACCGGAUAGGACGAUGGUUUGGAUGCCAUUGUGGAAAGUUUUUUCGGUGUGGGAUGAGCUCGCGGCCUAUCAGCUUGUUGGUGGGGUAAUGGCCUACCAAGGCGUCGACGGGUAGCCGGCCUGAGAGGGUGUACGGCCACAUUGGGACUGAGAUACGGCCCAGACUCCUACGGGAGGCAGCAGUGGGGAAUAUUGCACAAUGGGCGCAAGCCUGAUGCAGCGACGCCGCGUGGGGGAUGACGGCCUUCGGGUUGUAAACUCCUUUCGCUAGGGACGAAGCGUUUUUGUGACGGUACCUGGAGAAGAAGCACCGGCUAACUACGU
rnacentral:rRNA from 1 species